AUUGGUUUUUUUUAUUUGUUCUCGAUUUCUUAAAUAUUUAAUUUCGGGUUGUUAUCUACAAUAAAUUGCAUACAUGGUUUCAUCUUUGAUUGAACUCGUACCAGUUUUGUUAAUUGUAUAGACAGCCGUAUUAACACUUUCUGCUCAAAGUGAUUUAUUUAGAUUUUUCUAGUCCUUGCAGCUUCUACUACCGUCCGGUUACAGCUGUAUCACAAUCAAGAAGUAAUCACUGAAAGUAAAAAUGUAAAAUAAAUCUUUGAUUAUUGAAUUUGGCACGGCGUGGGUACCAGGUUUGAUCUUGUUAAUUAAACAUGGAAAGAGAUAAAUGUAUUAUUUAUACGGUAUUCGUCUUUAGUCUGGCGAUUGGCGAAGACAGGAGUGGGGUGGCUCAAAACUCACAAAAAAAUAAUGAAUGUAUCACGUCAAAUGAUCUUAACGGCAAUUGCAUUAACAUAACAAGAUGCCCAACACAUUAUCCAUUAGAAAAUCAGAUACAAAAUUCUUCUUUUAGCAUUAAUCUCAGAAACUCCAUGUGUGUAAAUAAGGAUAAUUCCACUUAUUACGCUAAGGUACGCUGUCCAUUGGAGAAUGAACUUACCACCAACACUGAAUUUUCUCAAAAGAAAAUUACUCUCAAUAUUGAUUUUACAUUAUCGGAAAUUGACGAAAUAAAUUCACCAAGCAAAUUGCCAUCUCAAGAAACUUGUGGAAAGGAGUUUCAAUUUUACCAGUAUCAUCCACAUGAAAUAACAGGAGGGAUCGAAAGAAAAUCUGCUAAAUUAGGCGCAACAAAAUAUGUAGUUAAUCGGCCCUGGAUAGUGGCACUCGGGUAUCUAACUCUUAAACGGUCUUCUAACUCUUAUACUGAUAUGCCAAAGCCGGAAUACGAGUGGAAGUGUGGCGGUUCCUUGAUAUCAGAUAGAUACGUAUUAACAGCUGCUCACUGCACCAUUGCAGUCGAUCAUGGAAUGUCUUGUUUGACUGUUGUGCGUUUAGGUCAUUUACUUAAAAUACAUUGGCCUAAAGCUGCAAAACCAAUAGAUGUGACAAUUUCACGGGUCAUUAGACAUAAAGAAUAUAACGCACAAAAACUGACCAAUGAUAUUGCAUUAUUAAAAUUAAACAACAGUGUUGAAUUCAAUCCUUAUAUUCGACCUAUCUGUUUACCCAUCUUAUGGCAUCAUAGAACCAACACGUUCGUUGAAUCUGAACUAUUUGUUACAGGAUGGGGUUCCAGAAGGUUUGAGGGACCAGCAUCCAAGUAUCUAAUUGAAGUUAAACUACGCGGAGUGGACAAUGUUGAAUGUAAAAUGCUAUUUGACUUAAAGAAUUUCGUUAUCGAUGAUAGAAUGUUGUGUGCUGGAUCGUUAACAGGCAAACAGGACGCUUGUCAGGGAGAUUCUGGAUGUCCUUUAAUGUGGAAAAAUCGUAAUCAAUAUUAUUUAGUGGGUAUUGUGUCUUUCGGAUAUAAAUGUGGUGAACGAGGUUAUCCAGGUGGAUAUACUAGAGUGACAUCAUUUAUCGAAUGGAUCGAAGAUAACAUGGAUUAAAGUUAAAUUGUAUUGAUUGAUGCAAAUGAUGCUAUAGUUAAAUUAAGUGAAUUUAAUAAAAAUAUUAUCUAAGCAUAUAGCUAUUAUAAGACCGAUCAGAAUUUACGGCAUUCAACUGUGGGGUUGUGCCAGUAAGUCUAACAUCGAUGUAAUAGAACGCUGUCGAAAAAUCGCCCACGCCUUGGAACGGAGCAAAAAAGCGCACCAAAUAAAGACCUUUUUAGCUCCAAACCCUUAUCUCAGGGGGGGGUCUUAGUUAUUUUUUUAUUAAGUGAACGUGGGUAAUGUUUGAGUUGGGGGGGGGGAGGAGUAUAAUAUGCUCGAAUAAACAAUAUAGUCACGUAUAAAAAUCAGCCACACAAACAUUACCCACGUUCACUUAAU
rnacentral:misc_RNA from 1 species